rnacentral:lncRNA from 1 species
GGCUGCAGCGAAAAGGGUGACAGCCCUUUAGGGAGCAGUGGCCUCCAUCUUUCUGUGCUACACUGGCCCCACCCCAGCCCUCCUAGGUGAAGCCCACAGCCGUGGCAACACAAAAGACAGGGUGAUUUGCGGUGACUAUUUCUCUGAAUUACACGGGACCAAGGAAACGUGACCAGGCUCAAGAUUUCUGGACACAGAGACACUGAGGACAGAGCUGGUUCCAUCAGAGCCCAGGUCAGGCUGGCGGCAAGCACGGUGGCAACCCCCCAUUCUUGUUAGAAGUGUGUUAAACUGUAAACAUGGAGGAUGUCUCCUCCCUCCUUCCCCUCCUUGAAGACAGCUCUAGGAAGCACAGACUACCACGGAAAAGAUGAGGCCAUCAACUGUACUCCAGGACUUCCAAAGUCUUCCUGGGUGCUGACAUCCCACUGCUAGAUGUGAGAAGAAUGAAGCAAGUUGUACUUGAGUUUCCAAGUACAAUGGUUUUGGUUUUUUUCCUUUUGUUGAUUGCCUUGGAAGGAUGGAAUAUAUUUAAAUGAAGAUUAGGCUCUUCUUGGCCAUGAAUAAAGGACAAGAGGUUUUUGGUACACAUUGAUUUACACUCUGGGUUUAACGGGUCAUCCAAGGCAAACGUGAAAGCACAAAAGGAGGAGGGGAGUGUAUAGGGAAUAUGGGGGGAGGGCACAGUUGGCAGCCAUAAGAUUUCUGGCUGUGGCCAUUAGUGCAUCUCCAUCUUUUUUUUUUUUUUUUUUUUUUUUUUUUUUUGGUCUUUUUAGGGCCGCACCCAAGGCACAUGGAAGUUCCCAGGCUAGGGAUCGAAUCGGAACUGUAGCUGCUGGCCUACACCUCAGCCACAGCAACACAGGAUCCAAGCUGCGUCUGCGACCUACACCACAUCUUACGGCAAUGCCAGAUCCUUAACCCACUGAGCAAUGCCAGGGAUUGAACCCACGUCCUCACGGGUCCUAGUCAGAUUCAUUAACUGCUGAGCCAUGACAGGAACUGCUAGUAUGUCUCCAGCUUUUGAAGGACACUGGAUCAAGUCCCUUUUCAAGUCCCUUCAAAACCAUGUCAACCAAUUCUUUGCCUGUUAUUCAAGACUGAUGGCUUAGGAAGCAUGUGGUCUAGUUCCUAGAAAGAAAACCUGACCCACCCACCUCUCCACCACUGCUGAACUUGUGUCCAACUCUCUGACCCUGUUCCUUGCCACAAAAUGUUCAUUUUCUCUGAACCCCCAGCCCCUGCCCCAGAUCCUGGAAUCUUAGUUGAGGCCCGAACUUGAAUUCUUCACUUGUCAGGAUGAGGGUUUGGACACAGACUCAUCCCUCCUCUGCCAAUUCUCCUUUCAAACUGAGGCAUAAGAUUUUUUUUUUUUAAUUAAAAAGACCCCAAAACCUGAGGCUGUGGCUGCUAGUUACCUACCGAAAUUAUUUCCCUUUCUUCUACAACAUAUGGUCAGACCAUAUUUUCUAGCCCAUCUCCCUUGAAGUUUGAUGGGGUCUUGUGACUACGGAAACACUUUGAGGCUUGGCCCCCAAAACCUUCCUUGGGAUUUUCUCUUCUCUCAUCUGACAACUGGAUGCCACUACCUGGGAUGACAUUGGAAAUCUCCUGUUGAAGAGGACAGGCCUUUUGUCAGCUGGAUUUCUGAAUGAUUCCUAGAUACCAAAAACUAGACUUCAUGAGAGUGAAAAG